UUGAAACACUGGUCCUUAUGUGAUCACUGAAGUUAAGCAAUGUCAAGUCUGGUCAGUACCUAGAUGAGUGACCACUUGGGAAUAUCAGGUACUGUAAG